UACGAAGGGGGCUAGCGUUGCUCGGAAUCACUGGGCGUAAAGGGUGCGUAGGCGGAUUGUUAAGUCAGGGGUGAAAUCCUGGAGCUCAACUCCAGAACUGCCUUUGAUACUGGCAAUCUUGAGUCCGGAAGAGGUGAGUGGAAUUCCCAGUGUAGAGGUGAAAUUCGUAGAUAUUGGGAAGAACACCGGUGGCGAAGGCGGCUCUCUGGACCGACACUGACGCUGAGGCGCGAAAGCGUGGGGAGCAAACAGG
rnacentral:rRNA from 1 species